AUACAGAGGGUGCGAGCGUUGUCCGGAAUCACUGGGCGUAAAGGGCGCGUAGGCGGCCUGAUAAGUCGGGGGUGAAAUCCUGUGGCUCAACCACAGGGCUGCCUCCGAGACUGUCGGGCUUGAGCACAGUAGAGGCAGGUGGAAUUCCCGGUGUAGCGGUGGAAUGCGUAGAGAUCGGGAAGAACAUCGGUGGCGAAGGCGGCCUGCUGGGCUGUUGCUGACGCUGAGGCGCGACAGCGUGGGGAGCAAACAG
rnacentral:rRNA from 1 species